rnacentral:rRNA from 1 species
UGAGGAAUCUUGCGCAAUGGGGGGAACCCUGACGCAGCGACGCCGCGUGAGCGAUGAAGGCCUUCGGGUCGUAAAGCUCUGUCGGGUGGGAAGAAUGUAUCGGAUAUUAAUACGAUCCGAUAUUGACGGUACCGCCAAAGGAAGCGCCGGCUAACUCCGUGCCAGCAGCCGCGGUAAGACGGAGGGCGCAAGCGUUGUUCGGAAUCACUGGGCGUAAAGAGCGAGUAGGUGGUUUGUUAAGUCAGAUGUGAAAUCCCAAGGCUCAACCUUGGAACUGCGUUUGAAACUGGCAAACUAGAGUGCAGUAGGGGAGGGUGGAAUUCCUAGUGUAGAGGUAAAAUUCGCAGAUAUUAGGAGGAACACCGGUGGCGAAGGCGGCCCUCUGGACUGCAACUGACACUCAGUCGCGAAAGCGUGGGGAUCAAACAGG